rnacentral:rRNA from 1 species
GGCCCAGACUCCUACGGGAGGCAGCAGUGGGGAAUAUUGCACAAUGGGCGAAAGCCUGAUGCAGCGACGCCGCGUGAGGGAUGACGGCCUUCGGGUUGUAAACCUCUUUCAGCAGGGAAGAAGCGAGAGUGACGGUACCUGCAGAAGAAGCGCCGGCUAACUACGUGCCAGCAGCCGCGGUAAUACGUAGGGCGCAAGCGUUGUCCGGAAUUAUUGGGCGUAAAGAGCUCGUAGGCGGCUUGUCACGUCGGAUGUGAAAGCCCGAGGCUUAACCUCGGGUCUGCAUUCGAUACGGGCUGGCUAGAGUGUGGUAGGGGAGAUCGGAAUUCCUGGUGUAGCGGUGAAAUGCGCAGAUAUCAGGAGGAACACCGGUGGCGAAGGCGGAUCUCUGGGCCAUUACUGACGCUGAGGAGCGAAAGCGUGGGGAGCGAACAGGAUUAGAUACCCUGGUAGUCCACGCCGUAAACGUUGGGAACUAGGUGUUGGCGACAUUCCACGUCGUCGGUGCCGCAGCUAACGCAUUAAGUUCCCCGCCUGGGGAGUACGGCCGCAAGGCUAAAACUCAAAGGAAUUGACGGGGGGCCCGCACAAGCGGCCGGAGCAUGUGGGCUUUAAUUCGACGCAACGCGAAGAAACCUUACCAAGGGCUUGACAUAUACCGGAAAGCAUUAGAGAUAGUGCCCCCCUUGUGGUCGGUAUACAGGUGGUGCAUGGCUGUCGUCAGCUCGUGUCGUGAGAUGUUGGGUUAAGUCCCGCAACGAGCGCAACCCUUGUCCUGUGUUGCCAGCAUGCCCUUCGGGGUGAUGGGGACUCACAGGAGACCGCCGGGGUCAACUCGGAGGAAGGUGGGGACGACGUCAAGUCAUCAUGCCCCUUAUGUCUUGGGCUGCACACGUGCUACAAUGGCCGGUACAAUGAGCUGCGAUACC